UACGAAGGGUGCAAGCGUUACUCGGAAUUACUGGGCGUAAAGCGUGCGCAGGCGGUUCUAUAAGACAGAUGUGAAAUCCCCGGGCUCAACCUGGGAACUGCAUUUGUGACUGUAGAGCUGGAGUACGGUAGAGGGGGAUGGAAUUCCGCGUGUAGCAGUGAAAUGCGUAGAUAUGCGGAGGAACACCGAUGGCGAAGGCAAUCCCCUGGACCUGUACUGACGCUCAUGCACGAAAGCGUGGGGAGCAAACAGG
rnacentral:rRNA from 1 species